rnacentral:rRNA from 1 species
AUUGAACGCUGGCGGCAUGCCUUACACAUGCAAGUCGAACGGCAGCACGGGAGCAAUCCUGGUGGCGAGUGGCGAACGGGUGAGUAAUAUAUCGGAACGUGCCCAGUCGUGGGGGAUAACGCAGCGAAAGCUGUGCUAAUACCGCAUACGAUCUACGGAUGAAAGCGGGGGAUCGCAAGACCUCGCGCGAUUGGAGCGGCCGAUAUCAGAUUAGCUAGUUGGUGGGAUAAAGGCCCACCAAGGCGACGAUCUGUAGCUGGUCUGAGAGGACGACCAGCCACACUGGAACUGAGACACGGUCCAGACUCCUACGGGAGGCAGCAGUGGGGAAUUUUGGACAAUGGGCGCAAGCCUGAUCCAGCAAUGCCGCGUGCAGGAUGAAGGCCUUCGGGUUGUAAACUGCUUUUGUACGGAACGAAACGGCCCUUUCUAAUACAGGGGGCUAAUGACGGUACCGUAAGAAUAAGCACCGGCUAACUACGUGCCAGCAGCCGCCGUAA